UGAAUUCUGAUCGUCUUUGGUCUAACGCGCGAAAGUAAGAGCCACCGUGUUUAGCGCGCGGCUUUGCGGCCUUGAUUCGGCUGGGGUUACCGGCCGACAUCCAGGACGGCCAAGGGGCCCGUUUAUCGUUGCUCAAUUCGAGCGUGCGGCGCUUGACAUGGCCGUUCGUUUUUACGAUCUUAGCAGAGAGAAGAAGAGAAGGGAGGAGCAGGAGGAGGAGGAGGAGGAGGAGGAGGAUUCGGUCCUCUCUCGUAUAGCGGAUGCUGACUCUUCGAUGAGGUCUCGAGGAGGAUAGCCUUCCUCGUAUCUCGAAACUAAAGAGAAGAGAAGAGAAGAGAAGGAGGAGGAGGAGGAGGAGGAGGAGGGACCUUGGGAAUGUGGUCGUUUACAUAAUCAAAAGAGAAAUGGUGUCACACACUCACUCGGAUGGGCUUUGAAGAAGAAGAAGAAGAAGAAGAAGAAGAAGAAAACGUCGCUUACGCAAUUACGAUGAGGAGAAUGUAACGCAAACAUGGAUGGAGUACAGUAAAAAGGUUAGAAAAGGAGAAGGAAGAGAAGAGGUAAUACCUCUUUGCUCGAUUCGAGAGCUCGAGAGGCUGCUUUCUCCAUGAAGCAGCAGCAGCAGCAGCAUCAGCAGCAGCAGCAGCAACAGCGGAUCGAGAGUAAAAGCUGUCAAGGAGAGAAAGAAAGAGAGAGAAAGAGAGAGAGAGAGAGAGAGAGAAAGAAAGAGAGAAGCGCGCUGGGAAGAAAGACAACAGCAGGAAGAAAGGUGAAAGCACUCUCACCUCCGUUCGAGCCAAGAUCUUUCGGUUUUUAUAUCGAAAGUACACGCGGAUUCUUAUUACUAUCACUCGAGAUUCUCCGAAAUCGUCCAAUUUCUUUCGACCUUCGAAAAGCCGCCUCUCUCCCAAUCUCUCUUUUUCCUAGCCCUUUUUCCCUUCACGUGUUAUCGUCGAAUUUAUUUAGAUGUAAGAAAUUUUUUCUUUUCUCCUUUUUUUAUUUUUGUUUUUUUUUUUUUUUUUGAUUUCUUCUUUCGUUUCUCUUUUUUUUUCCUUGGAAAUUUUCUCGGCCAAGCGAAAAAUAUCAGUGACGUAGGAAUUAGAGACCGUACGUCCAUUCGACCGUUCCCCUUGAUCUCCAUUACGCAACUUAUUUUACUUAUGGAGACGAUCCAUCCUUUCCUCUUACCCUCUCACUCCCCUCUUAUCCCUUCCUCCCUCCCGCUCUCUCUCUCUCUUUCUCUCUCUCUUGCUCUUUUUUCUUUUCUUUCUUUCAUUCUUUUUUCCUUAGCUCUCACACUGACAUAACGGUACGUGUCCAUUACGAAAGGCCGCAUCACGAUCGGCGACAAGAAAGAAGAAUUGAAGAAAACAAAAAAAGAAAAAGAGAAGAAAAAGAAAGAAAAGUAAGAAAAAGAAAAGAACAACGAAGACAUAUCGUUGUCCAUAAAUGCGUGUGACAAAUAAAUAACAAAAAAAAAAAAAAAUAAUAAUAAUAAUAAUAAACAAGUCAAGUUCGAUGUCAUUGAUGUCCAAUUACACUUUGUAUCGAAGUAA